UGGAAGGAAAGGCAGCAUGACAGAGAGCAAUUUCUCCUUACUCAAAAACGUGUCUUUUGUCGUUCUUCCUACUGAAAGCAAAGUGUUUGAUUACUAUACUUGACUGCUUCAUUCUAUACCAGCCAGGGGUGCUUGGUCUUAUACAU
rnacentral:snoRNA from 1 species